AUACUAACCUGUCAGGGGAGACAUGGUGAUCACAAAGGUGUUUUUCAAGAGUGAAGUUUAUCCACGGCGCUUCGGAUGUGCUGACCCCUGCGAUUUCCCCAAAUUCGGAAAAUGAGCUGCAUUC
ensembl:snRNA U1 U1 spliceosomal RNA